rnacentral:rRNA from 1 species
GACGAACGCUGGCGGCGUGCCUAAUACAUGCAAGUAGGACGCAGGUGCGAGCGGGUGAGUAGCGCCUUGGUAACUGCCUAUUAGAGGGGGAUAACUAUUGGAAACGAUAGCUAAUACCGCAUACUAGUAGAUGGACCUGCGUUGGAUUAGCUAGUAGGUAGGGUAAUGGCCUACCAAGGCGACGAUACAUAGCCGACCUGGGAGGGUGAUCGGCCAAACUGGGACUGAGACACGGCCCAGACUCCUACGGGAGGCAGCAGUAGGGAAUCUUCGGAAAUGGGGGGAACCCUGACCGAGCAACGCCGCGGGAGUGAAGAAGGUUUUCGGAUCGUAAAGCUCUGUUGUUAAGGAAGCGGUACCUAACCAGAAAGGGACGGCUAACUACGUGCCAGCAGCCGCGGUAAUAC